CCUGCCCCAGAGGCAUUGCAAGUGUGACUGCUGUGUCAGAUGUGUGUCAGUAGGUGGCAGAGAGGAGAGAGGCUAUAUCUACUUUCAGUGUUCUGACCUAUGAACAUUAUAAUGAUUACUAGCCUAACAUU